GAAUUUUCCGCAAUGGGCGAAAGCCUGACGGAGCAAUACCGCGUGAGGGAUGAAGGCCUAUGGGUUGUAAACCUCUUUUUUCAGGGAGGAAUCAAUGACGUGUACUUGAAGAAUAAGCAUCGGCUAACUCCGUGCCAGCAGCCGCGGUAAGACGGAGGAUGCAAGUGUUAUCCGGAAUCACUGGGCGUAAAGCGUCUGUAGGUGGUCAAAUAAGUCAACUGUUAAAUCUUGAGGCUCAACCUCAAAAUCGCAGUCGAAACUAUUAGACUAGAGUAUAGUAGGGGUAAAGGGAAUUUCCAGUGGAGCGGUGAAAUGCGUAGAUAUUGGAAGGAACACCGAUGGCGAAGGCACUUUACUGGGCUAUUACUAACACCCAGAGACGAAAGCUAGGGUAGCAAAUGGGAUUAGAUACCCCAGUAGUC
rnacentral:rRNA from 1 species